rnacentral:rRNA from 1 species
UGAUUAUCCUACUCGGAUAACUGUGGCAAUUCUAGAGCUAAUACGCGCAAUAAGGCUCGGACCUUUCGGGAAGAGCGCAUUUAUUAGACCAAAACCAAUCGGGCUUCGGCCUGAGCUGUGGUGACUCUGAAUAACUAAGUUGAUCGCACGGUCUUAGUACCGGCGACGCAUCUUUCAAGUGUCUGCCUUAUCAACUUUCGAUGGUAGUUUAUGUGCCUACCAUGGUUGUAACGGGUAACGGAGAAUAAGGGUUCGACUCCGGAGAGGGAGCCUGAGAAACGGCUACCACAUCCAAGGAAGGCAGCAGGCGCGCAAAUUACCCACUCUCGGCACGAGGAGGUAGUGACGAAAAAUAAACGACCCUAUUAUGGUUUGAGGCCCUGCUAUCGGAAUGGGUACAA